rnacentral:rRNA from 1 species
AGCAGCCGCGGUAAUUCCAGCUCCAAUAGCGUAUAUUAAAGUUGUUGCAGUUAAAAAGCUCGUAGUUGAAUUUCGGGGUCAGUAGGUUGGUCAUGCCACUGGUAUGUACUGGUCUCACUGAUUCCUCCUUCCUGAUGAACUGUAAUGCCAUUAAUUUGGUGUUGCAGGGAAUCUGGACUGUUACUUUGAAAAAAUUAGAGUGUUUAAAGCAGGCUAACGCCUGAAUACAUUAGCAUGGAAUAAUGAAAUAGGACGUUCGAUCCUAUUUUGUUGGUUUCUAGGAUUGACGUAAUGAUUAAUAGGGAUAGUUGGGGGCAUUAGUAUUCAAUUGUCAGAGGUGAAAUUCUUGGAUUUAUUGAAGACUAACUACUGCGAAAGCAUUUGCCAAGGAUGUUUU